CCAACCGCUGACGCAGAAAGGAACCCGAAAGCUGUAAAGUUAAAGAAAAGUCGACUUCUGUUGUCAUUUGCUACAUUUGCAAACGAGGAGGGAUCGACCCGGUGUCAGCAAAGGCUCCGCAGAGGAAAGGGAGACCGAUGGAAAUGUGUUUUAAAAGUCACCUCCAUUUCAACACCGUGCGCUGAAUUUGCCCAAAAAGGAGCUGCAGGAACUGAGCUGAAAUGAAUGCAUCCUGCAUGCAGGUAGGAAUAACAGCCUGACCAUCAGAGCACACAGAAACGCAAAUUGAGAACUCAACUGUUUCAUAUCAAGGAAGCUGCAGAUUUUUUGAUUAUGCAUAAAUAUUUUCCUGGUGGGAUUCAUCCACAAUUGAUACUGGAUUUAGAUCACAAUUGAUAAAAAUUAUAUUAUUAACCCAGCAUUAUUGUAGGCAUUAAUACUGCAAAUGGCAAAGAUCAGACAUUUUUUAUAAAGCACAAAAUAAAUAUGCAGAAAAUAACCUCAGAAAACAGAAGUUAUCUGUAUCUAACUACUUCCCUUUUAUGAGACAGGCACACUUCCCAGUACAAAUAUAGGAAUGUUGAGUUAACAGUAUACAACCACACAUUUGUCUGCAGUUCGACUGCUGUACUGGAAUUAUCUAGUGGUACCUACCUGGAAGGAGAUGCAAGAGAUCUAUUGCUUUUAUUUUUAUGCAUUAUUCCCAUAAUUAAUAGGUCCCUCUAUUUUCAGCCAAAAUGAAAUUCAGGAUUAAUAUUCACUUUUCUUGAGGGCAUAGAAGUUAGCAAAUAUGGUAUGGAUAGUCAUGUAUUUAGUACCUUUCACUUGCAAUACAAAAAUCUUCUUUAAAGACUAAUUAAAAACAUGAACAAAUUCUGUAAACAAAAUAAUUAUUGUACAUCCCCUCCUUUCCAAACACAGGCAGGAAGUUUCUUAUGGAUAGCGAGCUGGCUCUUGCUUCCUCUCAUACCAGUAUGGAUGUUUGUAGCCAAGACACUGUGAUGCUCUCUGACAGAGAAAAAUAUAUAAAACCCCCUGAAAAUCAUACACAGAGAGGAUCAAUAGAUUGUAUGUAGGUAAUGGCUACAGCCUUGAAAUGGCAAACGUGGGAUUUUGUUUGACUCUUAGAAGGAUGAACAUUGUUUCUAUUUUUGUACUUCUGCAGCUGAAUUCCAAACACAAGUUCUUCACAGACCUGACUUAGAACUUGGUUUCUUUUCAACAACCAUGCAUUUGUUCAGAGACAGAAAAAGACAAAACACCAGAGGGGUGUGUUAGGGAAAGUGAAGUGACAGUCUGCUUACAAACUAAUCCACUACAGCCUUGUGAGCUGUACCUGAAGCAGCUCAGGAAGCUUGGGAACAGAACACAGCUUAUUAGAGAACACAGGGACACAGACCGUGUGAGGGUCACUUCCAGAUUAAUAAUUUACCCCAUGAUAUACAAAGACUGUGAAACUCAGCUACUAUUGCAGUGGGACAACUGAGUGCAUCAGAAUGGCUUUAAAAAGGAGAUGAUAGAAAUACCAGAAGUGAAGCAGAAUAUUAUACAUUACCUACCUCUUAUCCACAUAUCUGAAAGCUGCUAUUCUGCAACGUGUUGAUCUUGUCAUUUUAUAUCACUUUUGUCUAAGGCAGGAGCCAAAUUAUUUUUAUGGACUACAAAAGCAAGGUAAACUAUAACCCAAAAACCUUACCAUCAAAAAAGGACAAAAUAAAGUUGCAAAAAACCCCCACAAAAGUAUCUGGAUUUCCAGUAUAGGGAAAAUGGCAAGAAGGAAUUCUGUAUAAAUGCAGUCUCUACAUCCACCCCCACUGAGACAGACUUUCAAAUUAAUGUUUUCAAGUUCCAACAUUUCUGAGCUGUUGCUUGAACCACUUGAAACAAUUCCCAGCUAGUUGAUGGGGUUUUUUUAGAUUACUAAAAAGUAUUUUUCUAACAUGUAAAAUGUGAAGGAACUAUAAAAAGGGGGCAUGUUUUGUUUUCUGCUACUUUUGAUGACUGAUUUCUAUUUAAAGGUUAAUUGUCAAUUAUGUCAGAACCCGAAAUUGUGUAACAGUUGAUCUUCCCCAUGCACAGGACAACAGAGCAUUAUUCCUUCAAGCCUAUUCUCCCUGGUAAUACUUUCGUGUCAGAAACUGCUUAUAUUUGCAAUUAUCUGAUGUUUA